rnacentral:misc_RNA from 1 species
GUGGGAGGGGGCUUGCUCCCGAUAGCGGUGUGUCAGUCAGCCUAUCUGCUACUGACACUCUGCUAUCGGGAGCAAGCCCCCUCCCAC